rnacentral:misc_RNA from 1 species
GUCGACGUGGAAGCCCCGAGAGUUGUAUCGGCACUGUUUGGACACUCUCUCGACAGAUUGAAAUUUCAUUUCGACGGAAUUCCGAUGGAUAUUGGCUCAGCGCGAUCAGAUCGAUUUCCAAGUGGAUUUACGACUGUUUGAAAAAUGUUCGUCGCCGAUGGAAGAGGAUUUUAUAAUUUUUGCCGAAGGCGCUGCCACUCGGGGUUAGCGUUCGAUACCUCCCGCAGGAACGAGAAAGGAAGCCGAUGGUUGGCAGAACGCCAGACGACACCUCCAACUUCUUUCUUUCGCUUGUAUUCUACACACACCAAC